AUUGAACGCUGGCGGCAUGCCUUACACAUGCAAGUCGAACGGUAACGGGCCUUCGGGUGCCGACGAGUGGCGAACGGGUGAGUAAUGUAUCGGAACGUACCUUUCAGUGGGGGAUAACGUAGCGAAAGUUACGCUAAUACCGCAUAUUCUGUGAGCAGGAAAGCAGGGGAUCGCAAGACCUUGCGCUGAUUGAGCGGCCGAUGUCAGAUUAGCUCGUUGGUGAGGUAAAGGCUCACCAAGGCGACGAUCUGUAGCGGGUCUGAGAGGAUGAUCCGCCACACUGGAACUGAGACACGGUCCAGACUCCUACGGGAGGCAGCAGUGGGGAAUUUUGGACAAUGGGGGCAACCCUGAUCCAGCCAUGCCGCGUGAGUGAAGAAGGCCUUCGGGUUGUAAAGCUCUUUCGGCCGGGAAGAAAUCGCACGGGCUAAUACCCUGUGUGGAUGACGGUACCGGAAUAAGAAGCACCGGCUAACUACGUGCCAGCCGCCGCCAUAAGAC
rnacentral:rRNA from 1 species